rnacentral:rRNA from 1 species
GGAGUCGGACCUGCCCAGUGAGUUUUUUAACGGCCGCGGUACUCUGACCGUGCAAAGGUAGCAUAAUCAUUUGCCUUAUAAUUGAAGGCUAGUAUGAAUGGUUUGACAAGAAUAUAACUGUCUCUUUAUAAUUAAAUAGAAUUUUAUUUACAGAUGAAGAAGUCUGUAUUAAAUUAAAAGACAAGAAGACCCUAUCGAGCUUAAAAAGAAUUAUGGAUUGAAAAAAUUAAAUAAAACUAGAAAAUUAACCGUAAAAAAUUUUAGUUGGGGCGACUGAGGAACAAACAAAGCUUCCUUUUCACAUUUAAGGCUAUAUAAGCAUUGAUCCAAAAUAUUUUGAUUAAAAGAAUUAGUUACCGUAGGGAUAACAGCAUUAUCUUUUUUAAGAGUUCUUAUCGAAAAAAAGGUUUGUGACCUCGAUGUUGGACCAGAAUAUCCUAAAGAUGCAGCAGUCUUUAAGGG